GUUUAGACCGUCGUGAGACAGGUUAGUUUUACCCUACUGACGACCAUAGAAGAAAUGUUGUUGCGAUAGUAAUCCUGCGAAGUACGAGAGGAACCGCAGGUUCGGACAGUUGGUUGGCGCACUUGGUCGAGCGGCCAGUGGUGCGAGGCUACGUCCGGAUGAUUAUACCUGAAGGCCUCUGAAGGUAGAAUCGAUGCUGGAGGAAGGCAAUGAUACGCAGCGUCUUUUGACUCGUUUCGACGUUUUAUCUGGGUGGCUAUAACGAGACCCGUCUCGGUUAGAGAUUAAAACUCGCUCCAUCAGCGAGGGGGUGUCCGGCCUUUUCGUUUCGUUUCGGACGAAUGCCUGGUCGGCGCUUCAUUCUCGAGCCGCGGUUUUCAGAGGGGAGGUUCGCCGACGGCUAUGCUGGGUGUCCGCCACGGGAGUGCCAGGCAUGCGCCGGUUCGCCUCUUUCUUUUUACCCGACUAAAG
rnacentral:rRNA from 1 species